GCGGUACACCGUGAGGCUAU
rnacentral:snRNA from 1 species